UACGUAGGUGGCAAGCGUUGUUCGGAAUUAUUGGGCGUAAAGGGCGCGUAGGCGGUUUGUUAAGUCAGCUGUGAAAGCCCGGGGCUCAACCCCGGAGAGUCGACUGAUACUGGCAGACUAGAGUACGGAAGAGGUAGCUGGAAUUCCCGGUGUAGCGGUGAAAUGCCUAGAUAUCGGGAGGAACACCUGAGGCGAAGGCGGGCUACUGGGCCGAUACUGACGCUGAUGCGCGAAAGCUAGGGGAGCAAACAGG
rnacentral:rRNA from 1 species